rnacentral:lncRNA from 1 species
UGAAGAAUUAUUGUAACUAUUAGUGGACAUCUGAACAAUUUGUGCCUAGGAGGGUUGCUCGUGAUUAUGAAUUGGCUAUCAGGGUUUUGGUAGUCGAAAUAAAUGCUUUGUCUCAAAAAAUUGACACUUGGUGUGUGAAUGUUUUUCAAAGUCCUUUCGUGGCAUGUGAGCUUUAUGGAGAUAGGCAUUCAAGUGAUUAUUG